ACGGGAGGCAGCAGUGAGGAAUAUUGGUCAAUGGGCGGAAGCCUGAACCAGCCAAGUCGCGUGAAGGAUGAAGGUAUUAUGUAUUGUAAACUUCUUUAGACGCAGAGAAAUAAGAGGGUCGUGACCCUUGAUGCUAGUAUGCGUAGAAUAAGGAUCGGCUAACUCCGUGCCAGCAGCCGCGGUAAUACGGAGGAUGCAGGCGUUAUCCGGAUUUAUUAGGUUUAAAGGGUGCGCAGGCGGGACAUUAAGUCGGUGGUGAAAUACCGUGGCCCAACCACGGGGCUGCCAUCGAUACUGAUGACCUUGAGUGCGUGUGACGUAGGCGGAAUGUGGAGUGUAGCGGUGAAAUGCUUAGAUAUUCCACAGAACACCGAUUGCGAAGGCAGCCUACGAAUGCGUAACUGACGCUCAUGCACGAAAGCGCGGGUAGCGAACAGGAUUAGAUACCCUGGUA
rnacentral:rRNA from 1 species